AGAAUAUUCAUACAAACCACUUUCAUUAUAUGGAGUGUGUAGAUUUUUGUUCCAGAUUUUCAUUUCAUGCAGUUGCAGAUUCUUUUGUACCCAAUGGGUAGCAACAGAUCAUGAAUGUAUUAAAGCUUUGUGUUGCCUGAUGUUGAACUGUGGACUUUUGUGGGUUGUUAGUUUGACAGGAUAGGCAAUGUGGUGAAAAGCACACCCCUCAAAGCUGGGGGGCCUGGUACCCAUGCUGAGAAAGGCCUGCAGGACUUCAGAUGGCUGAAAUCUGCAGAGGUCAGACAGUCACUGCUCCUUGGCACCAUGCCAGCCUCCCUGAGUCCAUUCUUCCCCAUCCUCAACCCAGCCUUGCCAAAACACGCAUUCUGAAAGUACCGGGGAAGGGAAAAUGUAUUCUAUGGAAGACAGGAUCAAACAGAAGUUCAUUUGGUCCAUUCAUUUAUGACCGAGGAAAGCUAGCAUAAAUAUUUAAUCAUAGAACUUGUGAAAUGACAUGUCUUUAAAAUGAAAUUUAUUCUUCAUCAGGGUUUAUGUGAAAAAUCAGCUAGCUGUGGACAACUUGACGUAUUUCUUCCAGUUAUAGUUAGAAGAAGUUCAUAGUAAAGAAAGAAAAACAUGUCAGUUUCAAUUUUGUUAUUAAAGCCAUCAAGAUCUUGCACAUCUUCUAGUAAAACUAUUUCCUGCCAUUACUCACUGCUUUUUUUCUUAGUUACAGAUAGGCAAUGAAAAAUGAGACGCGUUGGUAGACAGAUGAUUCACUUUGAUUUUUGAAGUCAUUGCUUUGAAGCAGAAACCCAUAGUUCCCCUUUUUGUUUUUCUCCUUAAUUCUUUUCUGUCUUUUCCCUAGUUUAGAUUACCACGUACUAAUUUGAAUCGAUCAAAUGCAAGUUGAUUAUAAUACCAUCUCUCCACGUAUCAUUUUUUCAGACAUCCAAGACAAACUAAAAAUCUGAAGGUUAAAAAGAAAAGUGAGAAUUAUUUCACACAAGGAGACAAGUCAAUACUUGAAUCUGAUGAGGGCUGAAUGACUGGAUCACCUUCCUUUUGAGUUUUGUAAGCAUUUAUAACGCCUUCGUUUCCACAGCAAGAACACGUGAACACACGGUCCUGGAAGUCUCAGUUCUUUGAGAAACCAGAGCAGCAGCCUGGCCCUGUGCCUACAAAUGAGCCGAAAGGAAAUAGAAAACAGUAGACAAAGACAGACAAACACAAGCUGCCCCUUAUCCACCGGCCUCAAAUAUUUGGUUAGAGAUUUCAGAAGAGAGCACAUCAGGUUUUCAGCAACCAGUCUGUGGUGGCUUUGAAAUGGUUUCUUGUAGGAGGAAAAACUUACAAAGAAAUGAAUGACUUCUUUAUUUGUCACAACUUAGGAAGCAAAGAGUUUCAUCGGUGAUGACUUAGCUAGCUAGAGUUUAUUACAUCAAAUGCCAGAACACAUUGAAGAAUUUUUUUUUGUAGUGUUUAUUCACCCUUUCCUUUACAGACAUUGUUCCUCUCUCUAUUGAUUAAACAAAGAUGGCAGGGCAUAAGGCCACCCUUUCCUGGUGGUUACAUUGGUGACUGCAGGGUUUCAAUGUGGUCCUUGUAGGGUUUGUCAUUUGUCACCUCUGGCUCUAUCAGCUCUUUGACCUAAUUUUCAUGAAUUGAGAAAUCAGGUAACUGAGCUCUCUGUGGCUUCUGUUAUAUGAGGAAGGGUUAUUAAGGAGUUUACAGAGGGAGUCUGUGUACCUUGAAUGGAGGAAUGAAGUUCCUUGGCUCAGGACAGUGC